AAACAUUGAACACAUUGACAUAUGGAACACAUCUCCAUUACAUGAAUCGGCAUCCAUGAUAACAAUCAUUCUACAACCUGCUCAGCUGACAUCAAUCAUUGUUUAUACAGCCUACUCCACUUCUCUCCCACGAUGAAGCUGUUGCAGUCUGUGAUAUGUUACCUCACAUCACCGAGGAGAUGGAUCUGGUUUACAAAGUACCACCUGAAGAUGUUAAGAUGAUUCAGAGGAAAUUGGAUUCAAUCCCAGCAACGGAACUGGAGGUGUGGAUCGAAUGGUCUAUGCCUACAAAGAAAAUUGUCACCUUGAGACAAAAGAAAUAGAUGAAACCUGUCAACCCAUGCAAAUAUUUUAGGUUCGGGCAAUUAUUAUCCCUUUACAAAGUUCUGUGCGAGAUCAAUUAUGUUAACAGUUGAUGUACCACGAUAAGCUUUAUGCAUAAGUUCUGCAACAGUUAUAUACUCAACUAUAUAUUCAAAUAUCUAUGACUGGUAACAGUAGGAAAAGCCCUGAUUUGCCACAUGUUGUCAGAAUAACCUAAGUUAAAAUUUAUUUAUUGAUUUAGUAGUAAAGCAAUGAUCGUGGGAACCGGAUGUUUCAAAUUUUUGCAUCAAAAUUAUGGUUUGGACAGAAAUAUUUAUUGAAAAAUGUUCAUUCAGCUAUAUCAUGCUGUCCCUGUCUGUUUCAAAGUGAACUGAAAUCAUGAUUUUCCGAAUAUCAAUAGGAUAAUUGCCAAUCUAUUCUGCUUGACCAAAACUUUUACUAACCAACAAUAUUUUCUCAUUUAUCCAAUAAAUACUGUAUUGCAUAAUUCUCUUUGGCCCAUUUUCCCCACAGUAUAGUCUUGGAGUGUUUCAAGUCACACGUCAACUAAUUCUUACUCUUUUUGUUGUUCAUAUUACUUUAUAUCACAUACUUUUCAAGAAUGUUCACUUGCUUUGUCAUUUUUACACAACUGUUGGAUAUUUCCUUCACAGUGUAGCCUUGGAAUGUUUCAAGUCACUCAUCCACCCAUAGUUUAUGUGAUAUCAAUGUAUUUAUAUUCUAAUGCAUAAUCAUGAAAUAUCUAUAUUCACACUGAUUAUUGUUCUCAAUAUCUUAUCUAGAAAUGGACGAGAUAGUUCGCCUUGUGAUUUUUUUAUUUUAUUCAUUUCUGCCAUUAUAUGCUCCACUGGUCACAAUUGUAAAUACUGAUCAUUCAGCCGUAUCAUUCUGUUCUUUGUGAUGUCGAGAGCUCUGUGUGUUUGUGAAAUUAAAUUUAGUUCAUUUUAUCUGUGAACAACUGCUGUAUUAGGUUAUUCAAUUUCAUCUGUCAACCAGAUGAGAGUCCAUGGUUCUCCCAAAGAUUUCAUCCUACUCAUGAAGCAGAAAUUCACCCUGAACUAUCUAAUCAAACAAUUUGCUUCUCUUGAAAUUUGCAAUUCGCAAAAACUAACAUUUAAAUUCUGUUUUCUCAAACCAGAACGAAUGGUCUCCAGAGAUUCCUCGUAAAAAAAAUUCUUUCAAUUUGCAAAAAUCCUAAUUUGCCCCAUUUUUAGUCUGUGAGAUUUAAACGUCUUUACAAGUUUUAUAUUUUCAUGAUUGUCUGAUAAGUUUAAAUUUGUUGUUUUUUUGAUGUGGUAAUUCAAACAUUUGAUCCGAACCAAGCAUUUUACAAGCAAACCUGCUGCAAGAAAGUCAAGUCAAUAUUUUGAAUUUUUUUUUAUCAUCCAAGUCAUUUUCGACUCAAAAGGAACACUGUUUUCAGAAUUUAUUUUUAUUCGGUUAAGUACAGUGGUUCCCAAACCGUGACCUAAUUACGGCCCGCAUAACAGUUUAUUAUGGGUCGCCGAACUAAAGUUAAACAGUUCAACACUUGAUUUUUUUUUUCUUUUUGCGUUCUGGAUACUGCCAAAUUGUUAUGUCAUUAUCACGGUUUAAAGCAUGUGUAUAUACAUUACCAUUCAGUUAUACCUAUAUCUUAAUACUGUAAUACCUACUGAUACUGGCCCCAAGUGGGAGCCCCCUUUUCCUGACCCACGAAUAUCCUUCCUCUUCUUUUUUUUGAUCCCUGGUCAAUCAACUUUGGGAACCAUUGGUUGAGUCGGAGUUCCAUAAACCCCUGUUGUGGCGAAAGGCCCAGUCAUAUUUUCAUGAAGUUUGAACCAAGAACGAAGGCUGAUCAGCAGUGCGAUAGCAAACUUAACACUUAGCUCAACACUGUCAACCAAGGAAUGUUUACUGAGUGGAAUCAUUUGACUUGACUUUUUUGUGUGCUAGAAGAAAAUAUUGAUCAGAAUAAAAAGUAGUGAAAACAAUC